rnacentral:rRNA from 1 species
AGUGAACGCUGGCGGUAGGCCUAACACAUGCAAGUCGAACGGCAGCACAGGAGAGCCUGCUCUCUGGGUGGCGAGUGGCGGACGGGUGAGGAAUACAUCGGAAUCUACCUUUUCGUGGGGGAUAACGUAGGGAAACUUACGCUAAUACCGCAUACGACCUACGGGUGAAAGUGGGGGACCGCAAGGCCUCACGCGAUUAGAUGAGCCGAUGUCCGAUUAGCUAGUUGGCGGGGUAAUGGCCCACCAAGGCGACGAUCGGUAGCUGGUUUGAGAGGAUGAUCAGCCACACUGGAACUGAGACACGGUCCAGACUCCUACGGGAGGCAGCAGUGGGGAAUAUUGGACAAUGGGCGCAAGCCUGAUCCAGCCAUACCGCGUGGGUGAAGAAGGCCUUCGGGUUGUAAAGCACUUUUGUUGGGAAAGAAAAGCGGUCGGUUAAUACCCGGUCGUACUGACGGUACCCAAAGAAUAAGCACCGGCUAACUUCGUGCCAGCAGCCGCCGUAAGAC